CACACACACACACACACACAGUCUCCUUUAUCACACACACAGUCUCCUUUAUUUAUUAUAUUCAUUCCUCACAUAUUAGUCAACCCAGACAUUAAUUCACACCAACGGUUACAGUAUUAGUCAUUUGUUAUAGAUGAGUAAGAUGUGCAUCAAUGCCUACAGUAGAAGUAAAGUUGAAAAUUAAUUUAAAAUAAUAUAAGUUUAAUGUAAAAUGCUUUGUCUAGAGUAUUCAAUUAUAUACAGCAGACUGAUGAAUAAUACAGUAUCUCCAUUGAGGUUUCCAACCAGGGAUUUCCAAACCGUUUUGCUUUGUGACCCACAAAUGGAGGUGUCUUUUGAGUCUCAACCCACCAUAUGGGUUGGCAUAGAGAACAUUUUGUUUUAAAGCUAAUUUCCUGCCAUUCUACACAUUUGCCCUGGAGCUGAAAUAAAAUGUGACCGUUUUAAUGCAACAUUUCCUGCAAUUCUAUACAUUUUGCCAUGGAACUGAGAGCAAUUUUUGUCAUUUGUAAGCACAUUUCCUGCAAUUACCUGCAUUUUAACAAGGCUAAAGCUGUAUUCUCAUGCUAAAACAUUAUAACAAGAUCAAUGGGGGCCUGAUUAUCUAACUUUUAUUUUGUUGAGUGUAAGUUCUCAAAGUCCCCCACUAAAAUAACCAUCUACUUCACAGAUGUCAUUGAUAAGCGCUGAUAGCUAUAGCCUAGCAGUUAUACUGUAUACUACAUGCACAGAGUGGUUCACUGCUUUGGCAAUGUUUGAACGCUAGCUGUCAGCCACAAAUCACACGUUGCUAGCCCUGCACCAAGCUAUGAUUAUAUGUUUCAUGUUUUGGAUCUCAGUGUGUCACAGUAGGAAUGUGCAUCUGUACAUCUGUAAAAUUAGUGUGUGUGUGCGUGUGCGCACAUGCGUUUACCAGUCAUCUCUGACAAUCUACUGUGGAAUGUAAUAGGAAGAAUCCCAUUGAAAUUCUGACUCUUGGAGCUUCUCUUCCAGGUGAGCCUUUACCUCCUUCACCACUUGCUCUCGCAUUUUGCAAUCAACUGGUGGUACUACAUUCUUAACAAUCUCUUCCUCUCCAUAGAGUAGUUUGCUCAAGCUCUCUGCCUCUGCGCAGUUCCCAUAGGGCCACAUCUGAUUGCUUGGUUUCUCCAGACCAAAAAGAUUACCACAGGACCUGCAAGGAGGCAUCUUCUCCCCACUCUUCACAUUGGAAGCCUGGCACUUGACAUACUCUUGUAGUUUCAUGGUGCCAUCAAAGUUCUUUCUCUUGUUCUUAUCUGGCUUGUAUGUCAUCACGGCAUUGGAUACACCGUAGUGCCAGGUACACAGACAGGACACAGCUAUCAUAAUCUGUCCCUCUUUCUUCCCCGUGCAGGACAUGGACGCUCCAUAGUACCUCCCUCCACUUUCCGAGAUGCAGAUGGUUGAGGAGGUGAACCGGUGUUUCCCUGACAUGACAUUGGCGAUAUCCCGCAGUUUCUGCCAUAUUUCCAACUUUUUGUCUGGUCCAAACAAGGAGACCACCUGGGAGUUAAUGACAACAGACGUAAAACAAAA
rnacentral:lncRNA from 1 species